ACUUCGUCCCGUGUGUUCAUUCAUUACAUAAGGGAUGAAAGCUUUUAUUAUAAUUUGGCUGAUUUUUCGAGGGCUAUUUGUGAAAUAAGGAGAAAAAAGAGGCGGCUUCUCUCGCUCAAUUGCCAUGUACGAUAGUUGUUUACUGACCCAUGGACAACAUGGGAAGAGAUUAAAAGCUACUGUUAUAAGCCACGGAUUUGAUUUAAGCUCAACCAGUUAAAAUACUCUAAUGAAUACGAGGGCGGUGUCCAAAAUUCAUACCACAUGAUUUACUUAAAAAAAAUACCGUCCUUUUUAACCAAUGACGCAUGAAAACAAAUCAAUUCUUUAAGGAUCUUGGAGUAGCUCAAAGUUUUGGCAGUGUUAGAUGCGUUUGUGGAUGUUUAAAUCGAUGCCACUUUAAAUCACAGAUUGCCUGCAAAAUAGUGACACGUACAUUCGUUCUCGAACAAAAACAUACAACUUGCAAGGACGCAUAUUACGCUCAUAUUACUUGGUACAGUAUUUUCCAAAGUUUCAGAAAUUCAACUCAUCAUCACUGUAAGUCGUCAUCAUGUCUGAGCGCAAGGCCGUGAUCAAGAACGCUGAUAUGUCAGAAGAAAUGCAGCAAGACGCCAUCGACUGCGCCACCCAGGCAAUGGAAAAAUUCAACCUCGAGAAGGACAUCGCCGCGCACACCAAGAAGGAAUUUGAUAGGAAACAUCACCCAACCUGGCAUUGCAUUGUGGGUCGUAACUUCGGCAGCUACGUCACACACGAGACCAGGCAUUUCAUUUAUUUUUACGUCGGACAAAUGGCUGUUUUGCUCUUUAAAUCAGGGUGAAAUUAUUAUUCGACACUUUCUAGAUGAAAUAACAAAGAGCAUGAUAACUGGAGAAAAAGAUUGGUAUGGGUUCUGGAAACAUUAUACGGACACCCUCAAAAGAUGCAACGAACACAUUAACUCUACGAAAAAUAUUUCAACGAUGCCUAUUUUGACUCUUGGCCGGCACUAUCUACAAGAAGAAAGCUCACAUUUGGCUCAAGUUUUAUGAAUUCAUGUUUUUUUUUAUGUCACAUUUUGCUCAAGUUGGACUGUCCCACUAGCCACGCCUACACUAAUUGAUGAAUCAAGGUUUACAACCGGCCCUUUUCACCGAGAUGACUCACAGCAAAAAUUGUGGUGUUAAGCGGUGUACAUAGAGGACCACACCAGUUAUUUUACACCAGUGUUAAAUUGACAGUGUUAGUUUAACAUCUAUAGGUGUUAUUACAACACCUUUGGUUUUUACAUUUACACUCUUUGGUGUUAUGUUCGAUCUCUAGGGGGUAAUUUUAACACAUCAGGUUGUGGUCCUCUAUUAAUACCAACUGUUGUCAGUUUUAACACCACAGUUCUUACAGUGCUACUUUUUACUAAUAAAGUUUUAGUAGAGUAGGAUUAUCAUAUUUGACACGAAAACAGGCUUGAACUUACCAUCUGUAAUAUGGCUGUUAUAGUCACAAAUCAAUAUUGAAUGAAUUUUAUCUCGCCUGCAUAAUUAUCAGGAGUGAGACUAUAGGCGCCGCUUUUCCGACGACGACGGCGGCGGCGGCGUCGAUAACCUAUAAGGUUAAGUUUUUGAAAUGACAUCAUAACUUAGAAAGUAUAUGGACCUGGUUCAUGAAACUUGGACAAAAGGGUAAUCAAGUAUUUUUUAGGUCAAAGGUCAUUUUGGGUCAAUUAACUUUGGCCAUAUUGGGGGUAUUUGUCGAAUUACCAUCGUAACUUUGAAAGUUUAUGGAUAUACUUCUUGAAAUGAGGACAUAGAGGGGUAAUCAAGUAUCACUGAUCAUCUUGCACAAGUUUUAGGUCACAUGGUCAAGGUCAAAUGUCCUAAUGAUUGUAGUACCAUAUUAUUUUAUAAAUGGUGUUUUUUAACAAUUAUUUUGUAGUUGUUUUCAAAGUCAGCAAUGCUGCUAUAUUGAAUUUCGUAAUGCAGGCGAGUCUGAUAUAGGCGCUCCAUAUGUUGAUAUUUAAUUUUUGACUUGUUGAAUCUCAUGAAACAAUUUCAUUAAAAGGGUUGGAACAAUACUCUCAUUAUAGACUCAAAUAUUCAAAAUCAUUCAUUCUGUUUGAAAGUAACUUCUGGUGCCAGUUGCAUAACUUUGCCAUCGUAUGGAAAUUACAAUUGGGAUCAUGCUCAACUGCUAUUCGAAAUCUCGGAUUCCCUUAAAUGUUCCAAAUGGGUGGCGAAAUUACCAUAAUAGUAAUAUGCAACGGUGACUUAGAAAAAGACUUAAUUCGAUUCUAUUAGCCCAAAUUCACAAAUCCUGAAUGUUUUGUGGUUAACCUAAGCGGUAAAAGUUUUCAACAACAAAACUGCAAAAAAUUAAUACAUAUUAUACUAUUUUUAUUAUUUAUUGUAUAGCAUACAACUAAUUUUGUCUUAGUUCUUAGCUUCAUUUUUAAGAGUUUUCGUGUCUGUUCUCAAAACAAAAUUAUGGAUGCUUUAUUUCAAUACAUGUUUUACUUCUGUUCAACGAAUUAAUUAUUUUUAAAGGGUCUCUGCGCCUCAAACAUUUUUGUUCCUGCUAUGUAUUCUUAUCUGAAAAUGUUACACUCUUUUUCUUGUCAAUGUGAAUGUUUUUCUCCAUGAUGAACAUAUAAAACAAACAAAUAGAUUGUAUAGUAAUACGAAUUAUUGUGAAAUCAUAAUGUCUGUCAGUUGCUUCUACAAGAUUUUGAAAAUAAACAAGAUGAUAACAAUUAAA